rnacentral:rRNA from 1 species
UACGAAGGGUGCAAACGUUGCUCGGAAUUAUUGGGCGUAAAGCGCACGUAGGCGGCUUGGCAAGUCGGAUGUGAAAUCCCUCGGCUCAACCAAGGAAGUGCAUCCGAAACUGCUGAGCUUGAGUACUUAAGAGGAUCGCGGAAUUCCCGGUGUAGAGGUGAAAUUCGUAGAUAUCGGAAGGAACACCAGUGGCGAAGGCGGCGAUCUGGGAAGAUACUGACGCUGAGGUGCGAAAGCGUGGGGAGCAAACAGG